UUUGGAGUGCUAAUAACAAAUCCCUUCUUUUUUCAUUAUCAAUAAAAUUUCCCUCAUACCGUCAAGGUUUACCCAAAAAAAAAAAAUUGUCCUUCAUUAGUUAGAUGUUAAUGAUUUGAAUUUUUAAUUGGUGGAGGGUGUUUUUUGGUAUUUCAAAUGCUUCACUAUUUUGAUGCUUCCACUUUAUAUAUACUAGCCUUCACGCAUGCGCUGACGUGCGUGUAGAAGGUAUUUUUUGAAUCACGGUGUGCUACAUGCGACUUACACGUUUUAAAUAUAUUUAUAUGCGUAAAUUGACAUAAGGAAAGUUAAAUAUUUGAAGUAAAUGAAUAAUUUUAGAUAAUGCUAGAAGAAACCCCUCAUAAACCAAUUAAAGCAACUGAAUUCACAUAAUAAAGUCGGUUUCUAUAGAA
rnacentral:lncRNA from 1 species